CUCCGCUUGGUGUAGUUGGUUUAUCACGUUCGACUGUAAUAGCAAUUGUUAUCGAAAGGUCCCUAGUAAGUAGUUGCCA